UGCUUUCCUGGGAGACAGAAUUGGGUCAGACGGAAGACACGACACGUCAUCCAGGGGGUACCUAGCAGAUGCUGGGGGGUUCCUGGCUGCAGUGAGGAUCCUCCUGAGAGCUGUCCAUGAAAAGUUUCCAGAGUUCCUGGACCAGGAAGCCUUGCCAGAACUGUGGCUCCUUGUUCCAGACAGGUUGUGGACCCUGGCACUCAUCAGCCUCCGAGAGGAACCGACGUCUGGUGGGCAGCUGAGGCCCUUGGGUGGCUUUGAACUUGGGGUCCUCGGGGGCUGCAGACUCUGGGGCCUUGUCUUUCUUAGCUGAAUGCUGGGUGCUCUGGACAGAGCCCGUGGGGGCUGCAUAAGACACAUGACAUGGCCAACUGGUGCCUGCUCCCUCCAGCCCCAAGACCAAUACUCACCUUGUUCCUCUCCGGGAUGCCUGCGGUCCUGCUGGAGAUGUCUACCACCUGGAAGAAGUUUUCCACUUAGAACAAAAUAGGAUGGAGCCUUGCUGAAGGCACAGAUGUGGGGAAGGGGAACCUGUGCCAAAGCUUGGCACUUGGCAGGCUCUUCACUCGGGGAUAAACCACACCAUACAUCCAAGCAUGUUGGCAUACACAUGUUCACCCUUCCCUUCAAAAGCUGAGGCAGGAGGAUCAGGAGUUCAGGGUCAUCCUUGGCUACAUACCGAGUCUGAUAUCCUGUCUCAAAAAAAACUUCAAAAAAAAAAAAAAAGAAAGAAAGAAAGAAAAACAGUACCACCACCAUUAAGGGCUUGGGUACAGCUCUUAACUCACAAAGUCUUGCCCUGCACCCCCAGCAAGGCCAACAAAGGAUUUAGUGUUAUUUUGCACAUUGGAAAACUGAGGCCCAGAGACUCCAGCAGCAGCCACAGCCACAGCCAGGAGCUGUUUUUUCUUUAGCUUUGCUCUUCCCCUGGGAGCUUUUGGAGCGCACCCAGGAUGGAGAGGGGAGCACCCGAGAUGGAGGAAGGCAAAGCCGCUGGGAAGGAGCUGGAAGGCCCAAGAAUCUGCCUCCCAGGAAGUAGAUGAUGGAUUGCAGGGCAGCGCCAGCCUGGGGCUGCACAAAGCCCAGGGGAGCCCUCCCAAUUUCCCCCCUCCCCCCCGACUCAUUAUUGUGCAAUUUA